rnacentral:rRNA from 1 species
AACGAACGCUGGCGGCAUGCCUAACACAUGCAAGUCGAACGAGACCUUCGGGUCUAGUGGCGCACGGGUGCGUAACGCGUGGGAACCUGCCCUUAGGUUCGGAAUAACUCCCCGAAAGGGGUGCUAAUACCGGAUAAUGUCUUUGGACCAAAGAUUUAUCGCCUUUGGAUGGGCCCGCGUUGGAUUAGCUAGUUGGUAGGGUAAAAGCCUACCAAGGCGACGAUCCAUAGCUGGCCUGAGAGGAUGAUCAGCCACACUGGGACUGAGACACGGCCCAGACUCCUACGGGAGGCAGCAGUGGGGAAUAUUGGACAAUGGGCGAAAGCCUGAUCCAGCAAUGCCGCGUGAGUGAUGAAGGCCUUAGGGUUGUAAAGCUCUUUUACCCGGGAUGAUAAUGACAGUACCGGGAGAAUAAGCUCCGGCUAACUCCGUG